rnacentral:lncRNA from 1 species
AAAGGGGUUUAAAGUUAUGGGAUUUCAAUCAAUUUUUCCCCCUCUUCUUUUUCUUUUUCCUGGUAAAAAUUUCCUCAUGCCCAGUUUUAUUUUCAAUCUUAAAAAAUUCUUUUUUUUACUGUAAAAUAUGGGUCUUUUUUUAAUUGAUUUUAUCUACUGUCUUUACAGUGACACUAUAAUUCGAGAGCUGGAGCAAUUGCAGCAAAUUUUUGGACACCCAACAUCGGCAAGGGCAGAGUAUUUGAUUUUUUUUUUUAAUUUCUUCUUUCUAUGAUCUUUGUUGGACUUUCACUGUGUAGAACGAAUUCUAUUUUUAGCUAGGCAUAACUUCUUUUUUUCUUAUUUUUGUUACUCAGGCUUUAUUGUAUGUUGGUUCUGUUCUGUUUUACCCAUAUUUCAUCAAUUUUUAUGAUUUAAAUUGAACUACUAUGUGAAAAGGAAUAUCGAGUAUUGCCAAGUAGUAUUUUCUUUGACUAUUACUGUACAUAAUUGUCAAUUUUGUUGUUCAAUUGCUAGCUGUUAAAUUUGCUGCAAAAGAAUGAUUAUUGCAGUUUGAAUCUCUUGUUUUUAUGGGGAAGAAUGGGAGGGUUGAAAAAGGGAAAUAAAAUGAAAUAGUUGGGUGGAAAGUGUUACCUUUUAUGGAGUUCUAGCUUAAUCAUCAUUUGUUUAAUUGUACAUUUUACACUUUCCAACAAUUGAAUGGAGCGAGUUUUUUGGAUUUCCAUUUCAUUGCUUUCAAGUAUCUUGGUCUAGAUAAGUUCCGUCCGUGUUUUCUGUUUUCAAAAUGAAUUAAUAUAUAUGACAUAACAGGUUCUUCUUGCAAAUUGGGAAUUGAAUGUUUAUAUGAAAAGGUGUUUAAAAUCUGAUCUUUUCUUUGUGGCAUCCAUAUUCUGCAAAGAUCUUUUGCCCUGUCUUUGUCCACCUCCUAGGUCUCAGUAUUUUGUCGGUUUGCUUAUGGUAGAGUUUGAUCUCCUUCUCUCCCAUUUUCCCUUUGUCCCCACUUUUCCUCUCCUUCCGCUUUAGCUCUUGAAAUUGCAUUUUAGAUCCUUGGUUGUUAUAGUGGAUUACAAGCAUACUUAACACUACGUUCAAGCUGUUGAAUUUUAGGUUCAACUUUCAAGUGUUAAAGUUUUAUUAAAGUUUUGAUUUCUUAUGUAAGCUUGUUUUACCCCCUUUUUUAGAGGGAGAGGGGGUUUGAGAGAGAUAAAAAUAGCACUUAUAUUAGUGUAUAUGGAUGUAUGUAUGUAUGUAUGUAUAUGGUAUACAUAAACAUAGGUUUAAAAAGUAUGCUACAUACGAUGUUUCUAUAAUACAAAAUUGUGUAAUUGCAAAAUAAAAUGUAAAUUUCAAGUACUGUGCACACUUAAAUUAUUUCUUAAAAAAUUCUAAAAAUUAAAUUCAAUAAAAUUAGAGUAUAACUUAAUGACCAAUAACAAAUAAAACUAAAAAAGGGAACCAUCAAGAACAUAAAAUUACUUGUGCAAAAUUAAUGCAUUAGCGAACCAUAUGAGGUUCUUGGUUGUUUUGCCUUAUUUAGAGGCUGUUUGAUUGGGUUUUUGCUAUUUGCUUUUUGCUUCCGAAAGUAAAAAAGCAAAAAUUGCAUUCCCAUAAGCAAUAAAAUAUUGAAGAGUUAAACACAAAAUAUGUAAAUUUUUUAUGAUUAACUACAUGAUUCUACUUCUAUAUAUACUAAUUGUGUUAUAACUGAUUUUAUAUUUUAAUUAUUUUUUCUGUUUCAGAUCAGUUAUGAUAUAUUUAUUGUUUACCUUUUGCUUUUCCUUUCUAGUAAAAUAUAUACGUUUUAUUCAUGUUCAUUUGUAACUUACCAGACUUCUUGACCAUGUUCUAGAAAUGCUAGUAUGUAACGAGUUUGCUUUGAAUAUGGCAGCUAACAAUAUCAGUGAAUCUUAGGUUUGUUGAUGCAAAUCAUGGCUAAUAGAUUCACUUGAAGCCUACUUAUCUAAAGAUCUUUAGAUUUUUGGAGGAUGAAAUACAGAGGUGGUGCUGAUGUUAAUAAUAUUGGAC